rnacentral:tRNA from 1 species
GGAGAGAUGCGAGAGCGGUUGAAUCGGCGCGACUGGAAAUCGCGUGUGGCCCAAAAGGCUACCGAGGGUUCGAAUCCCUCUCUCUCCGCCA